GAUAUUUGCAGAGAAAAACACAUUUCUUAUUAUUAUUUUCUCUGUUAUUGAUUGUAGACAUUGUAAGUGGACCUACAGAUGUCACCUAUGCUGAGAUUGAAUUCAAACCUACAAAGAAACAGAAGAAACAGAAAGAAAAAGGGAAAACCAGUGAAAGUUCUGACACUGUUUACUCUAAACUGAACCUGGAAACCCAUCAAGAUGCUGGAUCUAGUGAUGUGACAUAUGCUCAGAAUAAAUAAAUGGAUGGAGGAGAAACUUUCAGUCCCAGGACGCUGAUGAGUUUAGGCUGAGAAGGUCUGGAGGAUGACCAGGAUCAUCAAUUCUUAUCAUCUUUGUGAUGCUGAACACUUGAUGGCAACAGAUUUAGCAGUAUUUAACAUCAGUGAUUAUCUGACCCUAACCUAACCACUUGGGUGCUGAAGUGUAAUUAGCAUGUAAUUUAUGUCAUUGCGUGGAAGAGAAAGAUAUUUGACUGUAAAGCCUUUUUGUGUGUGAGUGUGUGUGUGUGU
ensembl:lncRNA